rnacentral:rRNA from 1 species
CCUACGGGUGGCAGCAGUGAGGAAUAUUGGUCAAUGGGCUUACGCCUGAACCAGCCAAGUCGCGUGAGGGAAGACUGCCCUAUGGGUUGUAAACCUCUUUUGUCAGGGAGCAACGCCGGCUACGUGUAGCCGGACUGAGAGUACCUGCAGAAAAAGCAUCGGCUAACUCCGUGCCAGCAGCCGCGGUAAUACGGAGGAUGCGAGCGUUAUCCGGAUUUAUUGGGUUUAAAGGGUGCGUAGGCGGAAUGCCAAGUCAGCGGUAAAAUCGCGGGGCUCAACCUCGCUCCGCCGUUGAAACUGGCGUUCUUGAGUGGGCGAGAAGUAUGCGGAAUGCGUGGUGUAGCGGUGAAAUGCAUAGAUAUCACGCAGAACUCCGAUUGCGAAGGCAGCUCACUGGACUGCAACUGACACUGAGGCUCGAAAGUGUGGGUAUCGAACAGGAUUAGAUACCCGGGUAGUC